rnacentral:rRNA from 1 species
UGCCAGCCGCCGCGGUAAUACGGAGAGGGCAAGCGUUGUUCGGAAUCACUGGGCAUAAAGCGCACGCAGGCGGAUUGGAAAGUCGGUUGUGAAAGCCCGGGGCUCAACUCCGGAACUGCUUCCGAAACUGCCAGUCUAGAGGAUGAGAGGGGAGAGUGGAACUUCUGGUGGAGCGGUGAAAUGCGUAGAGAUCAGAAGGAACACCGGUGGCGAAAGCGACUCACUGGCUCGAUACUGACGCUGAGGUGCGAAAGCGUGGGGAGCAAACAGGAUUAGAUA